rnacentral:rRNA from 1 species
UACAGGGGGUGCAAACGUUGCUCGGAAUCAUUGGGCGUAAAGCGCACGUAGGCGGUUCGUUAUGUCGGAUGUGAAAGCCCUUGGCUUAACCGAGGAAGUGCAUCCGAAACUGGCGAGCUAGAGUACGAAAGAGGAUCGCGGAAUUCCCGGUGUAGAGGUGAAAUUCGUAGAUAUCGGGAGGAACACCGGUGGCGAAGGCGGCGAUCUGGGUCGAUACUGACGCUGAGGCACGAAAGCGUGGGGAUCAAACAGG